ensembl:snRNA U6 U6 spliceosomal RNA
GUGUCUGCUUUUUCAACACAUAUACUAAAUUAAAAUAAUACAGAGAUUAGCAUGGCCCUUGCACAAGGAUAAAAUGAGAAAACAGAAUCUUAGAAAAUAUUC